AAAAGUGUUUGUUAUGGUAAUUUCCUUGAUUUUCUCUUCCAAAAUCUUAGCAGUUUCUGUCAAUGACUCCAUUCAACACAUGAAGCAUCGGAGAAGAGGCAACGUGUUCCAUCAUUUGAAGAAUACCUGCUUGCAUUUUACAGCAUCGGAGAAGAGGCAACGUGUUCCAUCGGCAUACAACCGUUUCAUAAAAGAGGAGAUUCAGAGGAUACGAUUAUUAAAUUCGAUGAUGGAUUUCAUGCCUAUUGUCCACUCGCUUUGUAUUAAUUUUGUGGGAUUGAUAAUACUCCAUAUAUAUGUUCACUAAAACAAAAUUUGGGUUUGAUGUAUCCCUGUUGGUAAAUUAAUGUAAUAUGUUCUCCCUUUCUAA